rnacentral:rRNA from 1 species
UACGGAGGGUGCGAGCGUUAAUCGGAAUAACUGGGCGUAAAGCGCGCGUAGGGGGGUUGUUAAGUAGGAUGUGAAAUCCCCGGGCUCAACUUGAGAACUGCAUGCCAAACUGGGAGGCUAGAGUACAGUAGGGGGUAGUGGAAUUCCGCGUGUAGCGGUGAAAUGCGUAGAGAUGUGGAGGAACACCAGUGGCGAAGGCGACUGCCUGGGCUUAUACUGACGCUGAGGUGCGAAAGCGUGGGGAGCAAACAGG